rnacentral:rRNA from 1 species
UGGUGGGGUGGCCCGUCUGGUUAAUUCCGAUAACGAACGAGAUCCGAUUUAUAAUGUUGAGCAUAUCUGGAUACGUCCAGGUAUCUCUCCAUUAUAGACUCCCAGUUCAAACUGGUGGAAGAUUCGGGCAAAAUCA